GACGAACGCUGGCGGCGUGCUUAACACAUGCAAGUCGAACGGAAAGGCCCUGCUUUUGUGGGGUGCUCGAGUGGCGAACGGGUGAGUAACACGUGAGUAACCUGCCCUUGACUUUGGGAUAACUUCAGGAAACUGGGGCUAAUACCGGAUAGGAGCUCCUGCCGCAUGGUGGGGGUUGGAAAGUUUCGGCGGUUGGGGAUGGACUCGCGGCUUAUCAGCUUGUUGGUGGGGUAGUGGCUUACCAAGGCUUUGACGGGUAGCCGGCCUGAGAGGGUGACCGGCCACAUUGGGACUGAGAUACGGCCCAGACUCCUACGGGAGGCAGCAGUGGGGAAUAUUGCACAAUGGGCGGAAGCCUGAUGCAGCAACGCCGCGUGCGGGAUGACGGCCUUCGGGUUGUAAACCGCUUUCGCCUGUGACGAAGCGUGAGUGACGGUAAUGGGUAAAGAAGCACCGGCUAACUACGUGCCAGCAGCCGCGGUGAUACGUAGGGUGCGAGCGUUGUCCGGAUUUAUUGGGCGUAAAGGGCUCGUAGGUGGUUGAUCGCGUCGGAAGUGUAAUCUUGGGGCUUAACCCUGAGCGUGCUUUCGAUACGGGUUGACUUGAGGAAGGUAGGGGAGAAUGGAAUUCCUGGUGGAGCGGUGGAAUGCGCAGAUAUCAGGAGGAACACCAGUGGCGAAGGCGGUUCUCUGGGCCUUUCCUGACGCUGAGGAGCGAAAGCGUGGGGAGCGAACAGGCUUAGAUACCCUGGUAGUCCACGCUGUAAACGGUGGGUACUAGGUGUGGGGUCCAUUCCACGGGUUCCGUGCCGUAGCUAACGCUUUAAGUACCCCGCCUGGGGAGUACGGCCGCAAGGCUAAAACUCAAAGGAAUUGACGGGGCCCCGCACAAGCGGCGGAGCAUGCGGAUUAAUUCGAUGCAACGCGUAGAACCUUACCUGGGUUUGACAUGGAUCGGGAGUGCUCAGAGAUGGGUGUGCCUCUUUUGGGGUCGGUUCACAGGUGGUGCAUGGCUGUCGUCAGCUCGUGUCGUGAGAUGUUGGGUUAAGUCCCGCAACGAGCGCAACCCCUGUUCACUGUUGCCAGCACGUUAUGGUGGGGACUCAGUGGAGACCGCCGGGGUCAACUCGGAGGAAGGUGGGGAUGACGUCAAGUCAUCAUGCCCCUUAUGUCCAGGGCUUCACGCAUGCUACAAUGGCUGGUACAGAGAGUGGCGAGCCUGUGAGGGUGAGCGAAUCUCGGAAAGCCGGUCUCAGUUCGGAUUGGGGUCUGCAACUCGACCUCAUGAAGUCGGAGUCGCUAGUAAUCGCAGAUCAGCAACGCUGCGGUGAAUACGUUCCCGGGGCU
rnacentral:rRNA from 1 species